rnacentral:rRNA from 1 species
CAGUAGCCGCGGUAAUACGAAGGGUGCAAGCGUUACUCGGAAUUACUGGGCGUAAAGCGUGCGUAGGUGGUGGUUUAAGUCCGUUGUGAAAGCCCUGGGCUCAACCUGGGAAUUGCAGUGGAUACUGGGUCACUAGAGUGUGGUAGAGGAUAGUGGAAUUUCCGGUGUAGCAGUGAAAUGCGUAGAGAUCGGAAGGAACAUCUGUGGCGAAGGCGACCACCUGGACUGAUACUGACACUGAGGUGCGAAAGCGUGGGGAGCAAACAGGAUUAGAUACCCCGGUAGUCCCUGUCUCUUAUAC